ensembl:misc_RNA Gm23671 predicted gene, 23671
UGUGAGGAUGAUCUGGCUGAGACAUCUGCCACCCCACUGAUUGCCAAACUGUGAUUCAGCUGACCUGGCUGCCUAGGCACCUGUCACCUUCCUCCCUCACUGC